rnacentral:rRNA from 1 species
AUUGAACGCUGGCGGAAUGCUUUACACAUGCAAGUCGAACGGCAGCACGGGGGCAACCCUGGUGGCGAGUGGCGAACGGGUGAGUAACACAUCGGAACGUGCCCAGUCGUGGGGGAUAACGUAGCGAAAGCUACGCUAAUACCGCAUACGAUCUACGGAUGAAAGCGGGGGAUCGCAAGACCUCGCGCGAUUGGAGCGGCCGAUGGCAGAUUAGGUAGUUGGUGGGGUAAAGGCUCACCAAGCCGACGAUCUGUAGCUGGUCUGAGAGGACGACCAGCCACACUGGGACUGAGACACGGCCCAGACUCCUACGGGAGGCAGCAGUGGGGAAUAUUGCACAAUGGGGGAAACCCUGAUGCAGCCAUGCCGCGUGUGUGAAGAAGGCC